rnacentral:hammerhead_ribozyme from 2 species
CGGCGAAACCGUCCGGUGUGGACGGUCCCGAGGGCUGGCAUCCCUCGGCUGAUGAUGCCUGCCAAGA